GAGGAGAGGAACGUCAGUGCUGACUGUCUGAAACAAAUUUAAGAACUGCUUCAAAUGUGUAUGUGGGAAAAGUGGCUCAGAUUGCAUCACUGUCCGUGUUUUAUGUGAUGCGUGCUACAUCUGAAAACCAGCAUUUGGAAAUGUGGCGCAUUUCCCCUGUUUUAUUCUUGUGUUGAUGAAUGUGCACUGUUCCAAUAAAAUCUUCACUCGGUAUGCUAACCUCCUCACCAACCCUUAACAGUAAACUAUAACCCUAACCCUGUACCCUCACUCCUAACCAAAACCCUCAAAUCACCUACCCUGAACGCUAACCUCCAUAAUCCUUAAGCUAAUGUUAAAUCUUAACCUUUAAUUCUCCCCUUUACCUGACAUAUUGUGAACCUUAACCCAAUUCAUCCGUAAGACUCUAAAUCCACAACCCCUAAAUCCUAAAAUUAAACUUGAACCCUAACCCUCAUCCAUACUGCAGGCAUGUCCAGCCCUGGGCCUGCCAGUCCACUGUCCGGCCCGUUGUCCACCUCUCCUGGCUGCAACACACUUGAUUCAGAUGAUCAGCUCAUCAGCAAUCUCUGAAGCGGCAUUAGAACGAUCCUGAUUUUUUUGAAUCAGGCGUGUUGCUCCUGG